ACCGCACCUUGCUCUAUCCAUC
rnacentral:miRNA from 1 species